UCAGAGCACCACUUUGCUGCACCUCAUGGACCACGCUGCAUCCACACCCUGCACAUGCUGCCGUGGAUGAUGUUAUCAUCACCUAGGUGGAGCAGAUGCAGUGAGCGUCCACAGUCCUAGAGUCCCUGAGGAGCUAGCUGCUGGGGCCAGAGAGGAGAGAGAGGUAUCAGGAACAUCUGCAGCGAGGAGCGCUGACAAAUCACGAGGAGCUGGAAAAACUCCCGACAAAAGCACAGCACGAGUAAAAAUUCUGGUUCAUUUUGAGCUAAAGGAAGACCUGCGAAAAUCAUGCUCAGUCAUUGCCAAAGAUUUCAGUGUGCUGAAAGCAUGUUGGCACACUGCUUAACAACAAAUAUUUCUGGAACAACUUCACCUACUUCCAAGGUGCAUGGAAAAGAUAAGGAUGUGACGACGCAGAGACUCCAGCAACACUUAAGAGUAACGAGAAACAACUUCAGCCCAGUGGUUCCCAAAGUGGGGGCGUGCAGGGCCAUUGCAGGGGGGGCACGGUAUAAAUAAAAAAAAAAAAGAAAGCUUGGACACUGCUAGUGUGGCAGGAUGAAUGUUAUCCCUCGGUCCAACCCACUUUCAGCCUGGCGCAUUAGGGGGCGCUAGUAUAAAUAGUGGCCAUUUGAGUGUCCCUGGAUCGCUUACCUGUGACCUCCUUUUUGGUCACCUGACUUCCUGUUGGUGUUGCUGAGCUUAGUUGCGGGUUACUUUUCCGAAGCCUCCAUCGCAGCUGGUAGGUGUUUACUCAUUGUAGUGUAUAUAUUACUUUGCUUGAUGGUAAACAGCUAUUGUUUGUAGGUCGUAGCUGUAGAAGCCUCCUCUGAGCCAUUCUGCUUACGUUUUAUGACACGGCUUACUUGGUAUGUAAUCAACUUCUGUUACGCUCUCUGCCUUCUGUUGUUCUUUUAUAGUAAUUAUUUAUUAUGCUUUGCAGGAAGUGUGGGCCUGAGUUUUGCGCCAAGCUACGUGAACUGAAGUGCUGCUGCUUUGCUUUGCUUUGCUGUGAUGCUUUGCUUUGUUUUACUUUAUUUUUACUGUCUGUUCCGGCUGCGAAGUUUCUUUGCUGCUGCCAGCCUUUAAAGUGGACGUCGGCGUGAACAACGGCCAUAUGCAUGCCACGCGGGUCGGCUGGCGCGCAUACUGAUUGACUGACUGGAUAAUUAACUUAUAGCCGUGCAGACGGCAAGUCGGAGCACUACGGCGAUUCCGUUUGCUCCAUAUUUUAGAGUUUUACCCAGAUUGUAUGUUUUACUGUUUGAUUUGUAGUUUGGAUUUUUGUUACGCCACUGGUGGGAGGCCCUUUUUCUAGCUGCAGAUCACCAGUGUGGUCUUGCAGUUGGGUUAUCCCCCAGCGCUAUAUAUUAGUUUUGUUGUAAUAUAUUAAAAUUUCCUUUGUUUCUUUUAUUCAGAUGCGGAGUGCUGACGUGGAGGAGACUAGGGUGCCUUGGUGGUGGGAUCCUCUGAGUGUACACACCUGCCUUGUUUAAUUUAUUAGUGUGAGUGUGCUGCACUUGUGUCUUGGUGUAUUUUCUUUUUUUUGAGUUUGUGUGUGGCAUCCCUGCCCCUCCACUGGAUAAAAGCAAAGCAGCAGCUACUUUGGUGUGGGAUUCCACAGCUGUGUUACAGAGAUGGAGGAAGAGUUACAGGAACUCAGGGACUUGAUCGCGCAGCUGAAAGCAGACAAUGAGAGGCUGCGUCAGGAGAGGGCUGUUGAGUCAGGAAGUGUGGGCCUGAGUUUUGCGCCAAGCUACGUGAACUGAAGUGCUGCUGCUUUGCUUUGCUUUGCUGUGAUGCUUUGCUUUGUUUUACUUUAUUUUUACUGUCUGUUCC